rnacentral:tRNA from 1 species
GCCGGCUUAGCUCAGUUGGUAGAGCAAUGGUUUUGUAAACCGGAGGUCGGGGGUUCGAGUCCCUCAGCCGGCACCA